rnacentral:rRNA from 1 species
CCUACGGGAGGCAGCAGUGAGGAAUAUUGGUCAAUGGCCGGAAGGCUGAACCAGCCAUGCCGCGUGAAGGUCAGUGCCCUAUGGGCGUUAAACUUCUUUUGUGCGGGAGCAAUAAUGGUCACGUGUGGCCAAACGAGAGUACCGUACGAAUAAGCAUCAGCAAACUCCGUGCCAGCAGCCGCGGUAAUACGGGGGAUGCAAGCGUUAUCCGGGUGUAUUGGGUUUAAAGGGUGCGUAGGCUGUGAGGUAAGUCAGCGGUGAAAUGCCCCCGCUCAACGGGGUGAAGUGCCAUUGUUACUGCCUGGCUGGAAUGCGGAUGCCGUGGGAGGAAUGUGUGGUAUAGCGGUGAAAUGCAUAGAUAUCACACAGAACACCGAUUGCGAAGGCAUCUCACGAAUCCGCGAUUGACGCUGAUGCACGAAAGCGUGGGUAUCAAACAGGAUUAGAUACCCGAGUAGUC